GGGUUGUGAGGUUAAGCGACUAAGCGUACACGGUGGAUGCCCUGGCAGUCAGAGGCGAUGAAGGACGUGCUAAUCUGCGAUAAGCGCCGGUAAGGUGAUAUGAACCGUUAUAACCGGCGAUUUCCGAAUGGGGAAACCCAGUGUGAUUCGUCACACUAUCAUUAACUGAAUCCAUAGGUUAAUGAGGCGAACCGGGGGAACUGAAACAUCUAAGUACCCCGAGGAAAAGAAAUCAACCGAGAUUCCCCCAGUAGCGGCGAGCGAACGGGGAGGAGCCCAGAGCCUGAAUCAGCAUGUGUGUUAGUGGAAGCGUCUGGAAAGGCGCGCGAUACAGGGUGACAGCCCCGUACACAAAAGCGCAUGUGCUGUGAGCUCGAUGAGUAGGGCGGGACACGUGGUAUCCUGUCUGAAUAUGGGGGGACCAUCCUCCAAGGCUAAAUACUCCUGACUGACCGAUAGUGAACCAGUACCGUGAGGGAAAGGCGAAAAGAACCCCGGCGAGGGGAGUGAAAAAGAACCUGAAACCGUGUACGUACAAGCAGUGGGAGCACCCUUCGGGGUGUGACUGCGUACCUUUUGUAUAAUGGGUCAGCGACUUAUAUUCUGUAGCAAGGUUAACCGUAUAGGGGAGCCGGAGGGAAACCGAGUCUUAAUUGGGCGUUAAGUUGCAGGGUAUAGACCCGAAACCCGGUGAUCUAGCCAUGGGCAGGUUGAAGGUUGGGUAACACUAACUGGAGGACCGAACCGACUAAUGUUGAAAAAUUAGCGGAUGACCUGUGGCUGGGGGUGAAAGGCCAAUCAAACCGGGAGAUAGCUGGUUCUCCCCGAAAGCUAUUUAGGUAGCGCCUCGUGAAUUCAUCUCCGGGGGUAGAGCACUGUUUCGGCUAGGGGGCCAUCCCGGCUUACCAACCCGAUGCAAACUGCGAAUACCGGAGAAUGUUAUCACGGGAGACACACGGCGGGUGCUAACGUCCGUCGUGAAGAGGGAAACAACCCAGACCGCCAGCUAAGGUCCCAAAGUCAUGGUUAAGUGGGAAACGAUGUGGGAAGGCCCAGACAGCCAGGAUGUUGGCUUAGAAGCAGCCAUCAUUUAAAGAAAGCGUAAUAGCUCACUGGUCGAGUCGGCCUGCGCGGAAGAUGUAACGGGGCUAAACCAUGCACCGAAGCUGCGGCAGCGAACGUAUCACCCAAGACAACUUUACGGAGUUGACGAUUGACGGAGCGAAGCGACGUCAAAGCGUUCAUUAAAGUCGAGUUGGCUUAGGGAUACGUUCGUUGGGUAGGGGAGCGUUCUGUAAGCCUGUGAAGGUGUGUCGUGAGGCAUGCUGGAGGUAUCAGAAGUGCGAAUGCUGACAUAAGUAACGAUAAAGCGGGUGAAAAGCCCGCUCGCCGGAAGACCAAGGGUUCCUGUCCAACGUUAAUCGGGGCAGGGUGAGUCGACCCCUAAGGCGAGGCCGAAAGGCGUAGUCGAUGGGAAACGGGUUAAUAUUCCCGUACUUGGUGUUACUGCGAAGGGGGGACGGAGAAGGCUAUGUUGGCCGGGCGACGGUUGUCCCGGUUUAAGCGUGUAGGUGUGUGUUCCAGGUAAAUCCGGUUCACUUUAACACUGAGGCGUGACGACGAGGCACUACGGUGCUGAAGCAACAAAUGCCCUGCU
rnacentral:rRNA from 1 species